rnacentral:rRNA from 1 species
CGGGUGAGUAAUGUCUGGGAAACUGCCCGAUGGAGGGGGAUAACUGCUGGAAACGGUAGCUAAUACCGCAUAACGUCGCAAGACCAAAGAGGGGGACCUUAGGGCCUCUUGCCAUCGGAUGUGCCCAGAUGGGAUUAGCUAGUAGGUGGGGUAAUGGCUCACCUAGGCGACGAUCCCUAGCUGGUCUGAGAGGAUGACCAGCCACACUGGAACUGAGACACGGUCCAG